UACGGGGGGGGCAAGCGUUGUUCGGAAUUACUGGGCGUAAAGGGUGCGUAGGUGGAUUAGUAAGUCAGUGGUGAAAUCUCCGGGCUUAACCCGGAAACUGCCAUUGAUACUAUUAGUCUUGAAUACCGUGGAGGUCAGCGGAAUAUGUCAUGUAGCGGUGAAAUGCUUAGAUAUGACAUAGAACACCAAUUGCGAAGGCAGCUGGCUACACGAGCAUUGACACUCAGGCACGAAAGCGUGGGGAUCAAACAGG
rnacentral:rRNA from 1 species